UGAGGGCCAAAGAGAUGAACUUUGCUA
rnacentral:piRNA from 1 species